CCUACGGGAGGCAGCAGUGAGGAAUAUUGGUCAAUGGGCGCAAGCCUGAACCAGCCAAGUCGCGUGAGGGAUGACGGUCCUAUGGAUUGUAAACCUCUUUUGUCGGGGAGCAAGGCCCGCCACGUGUGGCGGGAAGGAGAGUACCCGAAGAAAAAGCAUCGGCUAACUCCGUGCCAGCAGCCGCGGUAAUACGGAGGAUGCGCGCGUUAGCCGGAUUUAUUGGGUUUAAGGGGUGCGUAGACGGCGGCGCAAGUCUGGCGUGAAAUGCCGGGGCCCAACCCCGGAACGGCACUGGAGAAUGGGAGGCUGGAGUGGAGGAGAGGUAAGCGGAAGUCCUGGUGUAGCGGUGAAAUGCGUAGAUAUCAGGAGGAACACCGGCGGCGAAGGCGGCUUACUGGACUGUAACUGACGUUGAGGCACGAAGGCGUGGGGAGCAAACAGGAUUAGAUACCCUUGUAGUC
rnacentral:rRNA from 1 species